UUUGAAUGAAGUUUUCGGAUGGAUUUUAAAUUGACUGAGUGGCGGACGGGUGAGUAACGCGUGGAUAACCUGCCUCACACUGGGGGAUAACAGUUAGAAAUGACUGCUAAUACCGCAUAAGCGCACAGUACCGCAUGGUACGGUGUGAAAAACUCCGGUGGUAUGAGAUGGACCCGCGUCUGAUUAGCUGGUUGGCGGGGUAACGGCCCACCAAGGCGACGAUCAGUAGCCGACCUGAGAGGGUGACCGGCCACAUUGGGACUGAGACACGGCCCAAACUCC
rnacentral:rRNA from 1 species